rnacentral:rRNA from 1 species
UACGUAGGGUGCGAGCGUUAAUCGGAAUUACUGGGCGUAAAGCGUGCGCAGGCGGUUCGCCAAGUCCGGUGUGAAAUCCCCGGGCUUAACCUGGGAAUUGCGCUUGAAACUAGCGGGCUUGAGUGUGGCAGAGGGGGGUGGAAUUCCACGUGUAGCAGUGAAAUGCGUAGAUAUGUGGAGGAACACCGAUGGCGAAGGCAGCCCCCUGGGCUGACACUGACGCUCAUGCACGAAAGCGUGGGGAGCAAACAGG